ACGGAGGGUGCAAGCGUUAAUCGGAAUUACUGGGCGUAAAGCGUGCGCAGGCGGUUUGUUAAGUCCGUUGUGAAAGCCCUGGGCUCAACCUGGGAAUUGCAGUGGAUACUGGCGAGCUAGAGUGCGGUAGAGGAUGGUGGAAUUCCCGGUGUAGCGGUGAAAUGCGUAGAGAUGUGGAGGAACACCAGUGGCGAAGGCGACUUUCUGGUCUGUAACUGACGCUGAGGCGCGAAAGCGUGGGGAGCAAACAGGA
rnacentral:rRNA from 1 species